AUGAUGAAAGCAGCAAAAUUUGGGAGGUUGGGGGGUACCCGAGAGCAGCAGGUGAGUGGGGCAGGGCAGCAGGCGCCCCUGGUUGGGCAGCGCCGCGGCUGCCGCCUCUUUAUUUUUGCCCAUUCUCAUCCUCUCAGUUCUUCUUUUUGCACGGUUUCAUCCUCUUUUCACUUUUUUUUUUUUUUUUUUUGCCUAUUUUCGUCCCCUUUUUGCCCAUUUCUGUCUUCUUUAUCACUUCCUUGGCACGUUUUCAUACCUUUUUUUCCCCAUUUCCGCCCUCUCGAUCCCCUUUUAUUUUUUUCCCAUUUUCAUUCUCUAAGUCCCACUUUCUUGCCCAUUUUUGUCCUCUUCAUCACUACUUUUGCCUAUUUUCAUCCCCUUUUUGCCCAUUUCUGUCCUCUUUAUCACUUCUUUGGCACGUUUUCAUACCUUUUUCCCCCAUUUCCACCCUCUCGAUCCCCCCCUUUUUUUCUUUCCCCAUUUUCAUUCUCUAAGUCCCAUUUUCUUGCCUAUUUUUGUCCUCUUUAUCACUAUUUUUGCCUAUUUUCAUCCCCUUUUUGCCCAUUUUCACCCUCUAUAUCUUUUUCUCCCUUUUUCUUAUCUCUUUUUGCACGUUUUCUUCCCCCCUCAUCCCUUUUGUUGCCCAUUUUUUAUCCCAUCUAUUUUUUUCUUCUUAUUUUCUCUCUCUCCUUUUUUUUUUGCCCAUUUUCAUUCCUUCUGCAUCACUCAGGAGAUGCCCAGCACCAUUUCCCCCCCUCCCCUCUGAUCCAAAGCAUUUUGGGGACUUGUAGACCCCCAACCAUUGACAUCAGCACUGAUUUCUCAGCCCUGUGCUCGCUUGAUGCCAUUCCCUGUCCCAAAUUUGGAUUAAUCCCGCGUUGCGCUCCGUGCUCACGGCUGCAUUUCUGUGAUCUGUCGGUACCGUUGCGUGGCUGUGAUUCCUGGAUGGCUUUGGGGUCAUUUGGGGGGAAUUCUAUCCAUUUUUUGCUGCUGUGCCAUUGGCCACUGGGCAGUUCCUGCCAUAACGGUGACGUUGGGUGA
rnacentral:lncRNA from 1 species